ACUUAAAUUGAAGAGUUUGAUCAUGGCUCAGAUUGAACGCUGGCGGCAGGCCUAACACAUGCAAGUCGAGCGGUAGCACAGAGAGCUUGCUCUCGGGUGACGAGCGGCGGACGGGUGAGUAAUGUCUGGGAAACUGCCUGAUGGAGGGGGAUAACUACUGGAAACGGUAGCUAAUACCGCAUAACGUCGCAAGACC
rnacentral:rRNA from 1 species